AGUGAACGCUGGCGGUAGGCCUAACACAUGCAAGUCGAACGGCAGCACAGUAAGAGCUUGCUCUUACGGGUGGCCAGUGGCGCGUGGGUGGGGUAUACAUCAGCAUUUACUUUUUCGUGGGGGCUCACGUAGGGAAACAUACGCUCAUACAGCAUACGCCCUACGUGUGAAAGCAGGGGAUCUUUUGACCUUGCGCGAUUGAAUGAGCCGAUGUCGGAUUAGUUAGUUGGUGGGGGAAAGGCCCAGCAAGGCGAGGUUCCGUAGCUGGUCUGAGAGGAUGAGCAGCCACACUGGAACUGAGCCACGGUCCAGACUCCUACGGGAGGCAGCAGUGGGGAAUAUUGGACAAUGGGCGCAAGCGUGACCCAGCCAAACCGCGUGGGGUAAGAAGGCCUUCGGGUUGGAAAGCCCUUUUGUUGGGAAAGAAAAGCAGCAGGUUAAAACCCCGCUUUGCUGACGGUACCCAAAGAAUAAGCACCGGCUAACUUCGUG
rnacentral:rRNA from 1 species